UACGUAGGGCGCAAGCGUUAUCCGGAAUUAUUGGGCGUAAAGAGCUCGUAGGCGGUUUGUCGCGUCUGCCGUGAAAGUCCGGGGCUCAACUCCGGAUCUGCGGUGGGUACGGGCAGACUAGAGUGAUGUAGGGGAGACUGGAAUUCCUGGUGUAGCGGUGAAAUGCGCAGAUAUCAGGAGGAACACCGGUGGCGAAGGCGGGUCUCUGGGCCGAAACUGACGCUGAGGAGCGAAAGCGUGGGGAGCGAACAGG
rnacentral:rRNA from 1 species